rnacentral:lncRNA from 1 species
UUUAAUUACAAUAGUAAGACAAAGCCCUAACAGCAAUGCGAUUAGUGCGACUCAAACUCAAGCCACACUUGGGGUAGUGAACAUCCUAACCAUCAAGUCAACAUACAAGAUUCAUUUUAGAACUCUUUAAACUUGGAGAAGGUGCUUCUUUAUUUGUAAGCUUCAACAUACAAACAAUGAUGGUUUUGUUUUUCAUUUUUUAGUACAACACAUAUUUAAAUGAGUAUGAGCAGAAACUUCGAAAAUAUGGGUUCUAUUUGGUUUGGAUUAAUUUUUUGAAACCCUAUUUUUUAAUACAUAAGGUUAAGAUAUUGGAUUAAUAUAAUUUUUAGCUCCUGAACUUGAUAAAUAUGUUUAUAUUGGUAUCUGUACGUUUUUUGAGUCUAUUUUUAUAUUUGAACUUAAUUCCAUUAAGAAUUCUUUUAAAAUAUUAAGAUGAUGACAUGGUAUAAUUUCAAAUUUUUAUGUUUAUCAAAUCCGAGACUAAAAUGAACUUAAUUGUUAAAUUAACCCUAAGAUAUUUGAUCCAUCUGCAACACGGACAAGGACUUCAGUUUUCAGAGUGAUCUAUCAAAGUACAAAUGUGAACUUGAAAAGUGCAAUAAAACUGAAGUUGUUUAUUUCAAUUUGGGCCUUGAACCCCCAAAUAUUCAUUGCUCCCUCGAGUUAUCUAUCUUGAUAGCCAGAACAGCCCAAACCCAGUAGCUGCAAACCUUGUUCAAGAGGCUGGGAAACUCCGACUUCGAGAAUAAACAUGUCUAUUUGGUGGAUCGGUCUGGUUUUGUAUUGGACCAAUUUGAGUUUAAAAUUUUCAGAUAAUCUCGGUUUGAAUCAUUUGUAAUUGAAUUUGGGUUUUGGGCUCUUGAAUUAUUUUGGGUUAUGAUUUUAGAUUUCAAUUGAAAUUAUUGAUUUUUUAUAAUCAAUUUGAAAUGGACCGAGUUUACAUUUAGAUUGAUUGAUUUGGUGUUUCGAAUUCGACUCAUAGUUAAUAGGUUUACUUGAAAAUGAGUAUCCAUAUUGGAAUAUGUUUGAUACAAAUAUGUUUACUUUUUGAACCCAAAUUGUAGCCCGUUGACCAAAUGUUCACUUUUCUUGUGAAUUGCUUAGGUUCGAAUGUAAGAAUAUUGCCUACUGUAGGGUUUGUUGUAGGCUUGAUUAUAGGUUAGGUCACUUGCCCAAACUUGAAGACCGUUUUGAAAAUUGAAAAGGUUUUAGUAAAAAAAAUGGGUUUGGACAAAAAAUAAAACUGGGCCUUGGGUAAGAUUUGUUGGCCUUUGAUCUGGCUUGAAUCUGCUUAAAU